rnacentral:rRNA from 1 species
UGCUUAAAACAUAGCAUUAAUGUACCAGAUCCCAUUAGAGCUCCAUAGUUAAGCACGCUCAGGCUAGAGUAGUAUUGGGAUGGGUGAGCUCCCAGAAAUUCCUAGUGUUUUAUAUGC